rfam:Melissococcus plutonius ATCC 35311 DNA, complete genome.
AGAGUGUUAUGAUGUUGGAGGUAACUCCGAGUCUAGCUCAGCUUCACCUGCAAAGAAAAGCUUUGCAGGU